rnacentral:rRNA from 1 species
AUUGAACGCUGGCGGCAGGCCUAACACAUGCAAGUCGAACGAGUGGCGGACGGGUGAGUAAUGCCUGGGAAACUGCCCGAUGGAGGGGGAUAACUACUGGAAACGGUCGCUAAUACCGCGUACCAUAGGAUGAGCCCAAAUGGGAUUAGUUAGUAGGUGGGGUAAUGGCUCACCAAGCCGACGAUCCCUAGCUGGUCUGAGAGGAUGACCAGCCACACUGGAACUGAGACACGGGCCGGACUCCUACGGGAGGCAGCAGUGGGGAAUAUUGCACAAUGGGGGCAAGCCUGAUGCAGCCAUGCCGCGUGUAUGAAGAAGGCCUUCGGGUUGUAAAGUACUUUCGGUGGGGAGGCGUUAAUCGCAGAAGAAGCACCGGCUAACUCCGUGCCAGCAGCCGCGGUAAUUC